GAGCGCAUCUAGUGUAGUGGUAUCAUAGUACCCUCCCACGGUACUGACUGGAGUUCGAUUCCCCGGAUGCGCAU
rnacentral:tRNA from 1 species